rnacentral:rRNA from 1 species
ACUACGGGAGGCAGCAGUGGGGAAUAUUGGGCAAUGGGCGCAAGCCUGACCCAGCAACGCCGCGUGAAGGAAGAAGGCUUUCGGGUUGUCAACUUCUUUUCUCAGGGACGAAGCAAGUGACGGUACCUGAGGAAUAAGCCACGCCUAACCACGUGCCAGCAGCCGCGGUAAUACGGGGGUGGCAAGCGUUAUCCGGAUUUCCUGGGGGUAAAGGGCGUGUAGGCGGGACUGCAAGUCAGAUGUGAAAACCAUGGGCUCAACCUCUGGCCUGCAUUGGAACCUGGAGUUCUUGAGUACUGGAGAGGCAGACGGAAUUCCUGGUGUAGCGGUGAAAUGCGUAGAUAGUAGGAGGAACACCAGUGGCGAAGGCGGUCUGCUGGACAGCAACUGACGCUGAGGCGCGAAAGCGUGGGGAGCAAACAGGAUUAGAUACCCUUGUAGUG